GAGGAAAGCGGGCGGCGUGCCUAAUACAUGCAAGUCGAGCGAACAGACGAGGAGCUUGCUCCUUCGACGUUAGCGGCGGACGGGUGAGUAACACGUAGGUAACCUACCUAUAAGACUGGGAUAACUUCGGGAAACCGGAGCUAAUACCGGAUAAUAUUUCGAACCGCAUGGUUCGAUAGUGAAAGAUGGCUUUGCUCUCACUUAUAGAUGGACCUGCGCCGUAUUAGCUAGUUGGUAAGGUAACGGCUUACCAAGGCAACGAUACGUAGCCGACCUGAGAGGGUGAUCGGCCACACUGGAACUGAGACACGGUCCAGACUCCUACGGGAGGCAGCAGUAGGGAAUCUUCCGCAAUGGGCGAAAGCCUGACGGAGCAACGCCGCGUGAGUGAUGAAGGUCUUCGGAUCGUAAAACUCUGUUAUUAGGGAAGAACAAACGUGUAAGUAACUGUGCACGUCUUGACGGUACCUAAUCAGAAAGCCACGGCUAACUACGUG
rnacentral:rRNA from 1 species